AGAUAACUGCUACAAAUUCUAGCCCUAUCAAAUCCCCCCACACUUGAACCUUGCUUGUCCUCAAGCAACUUUACUUUUCACACUCUAUACAAACUCUAAACAUGGAGAGAUCGAUACAACAUGCUAAGAGUUCAAACCUACUUCACGAUGCCAAGAAUGCACUUUAGAUCACCAAACCACGCAGUUACAAUUACCGAGUUCUCUAAUCCAAAU
rnacentral:lncRNA from 1 species